AUUGAACGCUGGCGGCAUGCCUAACACAUGCAAGUCGAACGGCAGCACAGCAGUAGCAAUACUGUGGGUGGCGAGUGGCGGACGGGUGAGGAAUACGUCGGAAUCUGCCCAGUCGUGGGGGAUAACUAGCCGAAAGGUUAGCUAAUACCGCAUACGACCGAGAGGUGAAAGCGGGGGGACCGCAAGGCCUCGCGCGAUUGGAUGAGCCGACGUCGGAUUAGCUAGUUGGCGGGGUAAAGGCCACCAAGGCGACGAUCCGUAGCUGGUCUGAGAGGAUGAUCAGCCACACUGGAACUGAGACACGGUCCAGACUCCUACGGGAGGCGGCAGUGGGGAAUAUUGGACAAUGGGCGCAAGCCUGAUCCAGCAAUGCCGCGUGUGUGAAGAAGGCCUCGGUUGUAAG
rnacentral:rRNA from 1 species